GAUUUGUUAGUUUAAUUUAAAACGUAAUUUUUCUAUAAUUAAGAUCUUUUUUUGACUGUUCG
rnacentral:tRNA from 1 species